GUGCUCACUUCGGUAGCACAUAUACUAAAAUUGGAAUGAUACAGAGAAGAUUAGCAUGGCCCCUGCAUAAGGAUGAUAUGCAAAUUCAUGAAACAUUCAAUUUUUUU
rnacentral:snRNA from 1 species